CUUAAAAUAGCUAAAAAUUGAUGAUAGGGUACUGUUGUUGGGGAUGCUUUUAGUCCUAGAAGAGAGAGAACACGCUGCAUCCAUCAUCGCUAUUCAUUGAAUCGUUCACCUAAUCCUGAGGAAACUCCAAUGGGCUGCUCGUCAACAAUUCAUCGAUUACGGAGCCAACUUUCAGAAUCUCAACCUCAUUGCCAGGCAAGGGCUUGUUACUGAGACUCGUUGUGAAAACUAAUUUCUUUUUCAGAGUUUGUCCAAUUUUUUUGAGGAUACAAUACAUUUUGUCCUUAAAGUAUGCAUUUCUUGUCACUUUGGAACUUCAAGUUUCAAUUUUGUCAAUUUCGUCCUUAAAAUUUUAAAUUUGAGUCCAUUUGGUCCAAUUCUAAACAGACCGUCUAAAUAGUUAACAGAAUGGUAAUAAAAUCCACACAUGGUUCUUAAAGUAUGUGUUUUGUAUACUUUGGUUUGUAAAGUUUUUAAUUUUGUCAAUUUGGUCUUGAAACAUUGAUGAAGAAAAUAAAAUAUAACCUUACAAUAUUCAAGGACGAAAUUGACAAAAUUAAUACUUUAGGGACUAAAAUGACACAAAACAUAUACUUUGGCGAUCCUAAUUGAAAUUAUAAUUAUUUCAUUAAUGAUUUAUGCAACCGUUUGGAAUUGGACCAAUCUGACUCAAAUUGAUAACUUUUGAGAAUCAAAAUGAUAAAAUUAAAAUUAUGACAAUGAAUUCAUACUUAAAGGAUUAAAAUUGUCUUUUAUCAAAAUUUUAAAUUAUAUGCUUUUGACUUCCAUGUUUCAUUGAUAGUUAAUGAAAAAUGAUUGGUAACCCGAAUUUGUGUGGUUCGAAUAUAUCAAAAUGACGUCAUUUUACCCCCGAAACGACGUCGUUUUGAGACAUUCGAGCCGUUCAGGCCAUGAAAAUUUGGACUACCAAGCAUUGUUGAUAGUUUAUCCUACUAUGAUAAAGGAGUUGAGCAGAUGGAUCACAAAGCUGCGGUGUUGAGGAGUCACCUUUAUAGAGCCAAGAGGAAAGCACAGAUGCAGUCAUCAAGAACAAUAUGCAAAGGUGUGGAAUUGUUGUGAAGAACUCAGAAGAACAAAUCCAGGGUCAAAAAUUGCAACCAAUUAGCAAUUAUAAUACUUACAAGCAACAACCAAAGUUCAAGGGUAAAAUUAAUCAUUUGCAGAAUGUGUGCCCAGAAACUACCACGCUACAAGAGAAGCUCACCAAUUUAUUAUGACAACGAUGUCGUUUUGACUCUUUGGAUGAAUUUGUCCAAACCACGUUCAGAAUCUCAACCUCAUAGCCAGGUAAUAACAAAUAAUAUUCUUGUGAUAAAUCUCUACAUGUUUGAAAUUAUCAUUUGGUUAUCCCUACUUUAAAAAGACUUGAGAUUAUUAAAUUUACAGUUUUUAUAGAUGGACAGUUUAUACUUGUUGAAUAAAUGGUAUUCAGAUUUUUGAGAUCCCUUAUAAAUGGAAAAGAAGAAUAUCAAAUUUCCUUUUAAA